rnacentral:rRNA from 1 species
UGCCUCAGUAACGGCGAGUGAAGCGGCAAAAGCUCAAAUUUGAAAUCUGGCCCUUUCAGGGUCCGAGUUGUAAUUUGCAGAGGAUGCUUCGGGAGCGGCGGCGGUUUAAGUCCCCUGGAACGGGGCGUCGUAGAGGGUGACAAUCCCGUCUUGAAUCGCAUGUCCGUGACCGUGUGAAGCUCCUUCGACGAGUCGAGUUGUUUGGGAAUGCAGCUCAAAAUGGGUGGUAAAUUUCAUCUAAAGCUAAAUACUGGCUGGAGACCGAUAGCGCACAAGUAGAGUGAUCGAAAGGUUAAAAGCACCUUGAAAAGGGAGUUAAAUAGCACGUGAAAUUGUUGAAAGGGAAGCGCUUGCAACCAGACUCGGCCGCAGAGGCUCAGUGGGCACGUGUGCCCAUGCACUCCUCUGUGGUCGGGCCAGCAUCAGUUCUGACGGCCGGUCAAAGGCCCCUGGAAUGUAUCCUCCUCCGGGAGGUCUUAUAGCCAGGGGUGCAAUGCGGCCAGUCGGGACUGAGGAACGCGCUUCGGCACGGAUGCUGGCGUAAUGGUUGUAAGCGACCCGUCUUGAAACACGGACCAAGGAGUCUAACAUCCACGCGAGUGUUAGGGUGUCAAACCCUUGCGCGCAGUGAAAGCGAACGGAGGUGAGAUCCCCGCAAGGGGCGCAUCAUCGACCGAUCCUGAAGUCUUCGGAUGGAUUUGAGUAAGAGCGUGGCUGUUGGGACCCGAAAGAUGGUGAACUAUGCCUGAAUAGGGUGAAGCCAGAGGAAACUCUGGUGGAGGCUCGCAGCGGUUCUGACGUGCAAAUCGAUCGUCAAAUUUGGGUAUAGGGGCGAAAGACUAAUCGAACCAUCUAGUAGCUGGUUCCUGCCGAAGUUUCCCUCAGGAUAGCAGUAACGUUUUCAGUUUUAUGAGGUAAAGCGAAUGAUUA